rnacentral:rRNA from 1 species
UACGAAGGGGGGCUAGCGUUGUUCGGAAUUACUGGGCGUAAAGCGCACGUAGGCGGAUCAUUUAGUCAGGGGUGAAAUCCCGGGGCUCAACCUCGGAACUGCCUUUGAUACUGAUGGUCUCGAGUCCGAUAGAGGUGAGUGGAAUUCCUAGUGUAGAGGUGAAAUUCGUAGAUAUUAGGAAGAACACCAGUGGCGAGGGCGGCUCACUGGAUCGGUACUGACGCUGAGGUGCGAAAGCGUGGGGAGCAAACAGG